rnacentral:rRNA from 1 species
UACGGGGGGGGGCAAGCGUUGUUCGGAAUUACUGGGCGUAAAGGGCUCGUAGGUGGCCAACUAAGUCAGACGUGAAAUCCCUCGGCUUAACCGGGGAACUGCGUCUGAUACUGGAUGGCUUGAGUUCGGGAGAGGGAUGCGGAAUUCCAGGUGUAGCGGUGAAAUGCGUAGAUAUUCGCAAGAACACCAGUGGCGGAAGGCGGCUUACUGGUCCGGAACUGACGCUGAGGUGCGAAAGGCGUGGGGAGCAAAAGGCAUG